CAUUAUUCACAUGGGAAAGCUAAAGCAAGGGGGAAAUAAGGCACUUGCCUAAAUCUCUAGAACACGUGCUACCAAUGGGGAGACAAGUGAAAAUCUCUGAGAGUGAGAUCAAGGUAAUCAUCGGUCAGAUCAACUAAACCUGUAACAUGUCUUCACCAAGCAAGCUUGCUUUAACUGUUGCUACAAAAACCUUGCAUGUUCUCCAAGCAUCAGGUAGCUUAAACAAGUUGUUUGUCAAGAACUUGGAGCCAGCUGUGUCCAGUUUAAGUUCAAGCCAGUUAACUGGCUUAGGACCACCAGCCCUCUAAUUGGGCUUGAACAAGUGUUUGCCCAUGACCUUUUGACAUCAGAGGGCCCAAAACUCCACCCUCAGAACAUGCUAAUGUCUCCAUUUCUUGAAUCUUCAGCCUAUGAAGAAGCCUAUAGCAUAGUUUUGCCUGCGAGAACAAUUAUAUCACUUUCUAAUUUCCAAUCACCUUUUCCCAUGCUUCCCACGCCUCGGCUUUAUCCCAUAAAUACCCCCAGCCCCUUAUUUCAGGGGAGGCUGGUUUGAGAGUUCUCCAUCUUUCUGUUUGGUCACCUUGUGGAUGAGCCCUUUGGUGCAAAGUUUGGCAUCUCAGCAUUUGGUUUGCUGUAUACGUCAGAAAGCAACCUGUUUAAGUAAGAAGAGGAUGUUGGGCGUGCACCCAGUCUUCUGUAGUGGAGCAGGCCAAGGAGAAGAAACUUGCAAGGUGGCUCAGAGGUAAAGAAUCUGUCUGCCAAUGCAGGAGAUGAAGGAGACAUACAUUGGAUCUUUGGGUUGGGAAGAUCCCCUGGAGUAGGAAAUAGCAAUUCACUUCAGUAUUCUUGCUGGGAAAGUCCCAUGGACAGAGGAGCCUGGAGCGCUACAGUCUGUGGGGUUUUACUCAAAACUGGAUACACAACUUGUGAGGCCCAGUGCAAAAUGAAAAAUGGUGGACUGCUUAUUCAAAAAGCAGAAGAAGAAAGGCUGUUAAAAGUACUAAAUUAUACAACUUUCUCCUUUAAAAAGAUUUGAUUGUUUGUAAAAUGUAACUUGAAUCAAAUUGCUAUAUGAGUAAUAAUAUAUAUAUUGAAAAAAGUACUUCUGGUGUCAUAAGUUUAUAUAAUAUAAUAAAUAACUGUGGUGUUGGAGAAGACUCUUAAGAGUCCCUUGGACUGCAAGGAGAUCCAACCAGUCCAUUCUGAAGGAGAUCAGACCUGGGAUUUCUUUGGAAGGAAUGACGCUAAAGCUGAAACUCCAGUACUUUGGCCACCUCAUGUGAAGAGUUGACUCAUCGGAAAAGACCCUGAUGCUGGGAGGGAUUGGGGGCAGGAGGAGAAGGGGAUGACAGAGGAUGAGAUUGCUGGAUGGCAUCACAGACUCGAUGGACGUGAGUCUAGGUGAACUCCGGGAGUCGGUGAUGGACAGGGAGGCCUGGCAUGCUGCGAUUCAUGGGGUCGCAAAGAGUCAGACACGACUGAGAGACUGAACUGAACCUUAAUAGUUUGAUCAUAAGAUUUAUUCUGGAUCAGUUUUCUGCAAAUCAAUUUGUUAGGUCAUCCAAAUAUAUAAUUUUAGCAACUUCAUUUCAAUGAAUAAAAUUAAAGAAGCAUCAAUCACUCCUGGCAAAUGUAAGACUGCAAAUAAUGUUUGAAAAAGUUUAAUUUUGCAAGCAUCUUCCUACUUAUGUACCUAUUAAUUAAUAAGCUGUGAUAAGUAUUUCAUAGGCUGUGACAAAUUGUGAUAAAUAUCUGGCAAAUUAUUUUAAAAUAUAAAUUGUAUUAUAUUUAGAGCUUAUAAUUGUGGGAUAAUUUUUCUAAAGAGAUUUAACUCUUCAUACAAGUGAGUUUCAGGUAAGUCUAUACUUAAUUUUAAAUAUGAAUUUGCACAAUGGUAUUUUAAUGGUUCCUUUGACUUUCUUUAGUUUAUGGAUAUCAUUUAAGAAGAUGAAAGGGACUUCAUGAUUUGUAUAUAAUUUUUAAUGUCUGUUUUAUAUCACUAUCUUCAAUUAGAAGGAAACAUUCAUUUAAAAAUUAUUUUCCUUGUUAAUAAUUAUCUGAAGCUUCGUAAGAAUUUGGGAUCCUUUUCUAUUAAAUGCAAUGUCUUUACAUUUAAUCGCUAUCACUAAGCUUGUGAAUACUUACUUUUUAAUACUGCAGCAGCUUUCACAAGUCAGGGAUUCUAAACUCUGAAGAAUUGUAAUGACUCCCUGAUAUGCUUUAUUGUGGUUUCAGUGUGUUUGCUGUUUGUAAUUAUCUGCUGACAAAGUUUACUGUCGAGCACAAGCAAUUUCUGUCCAGUGUUUAGAAUAAAAAGUUAAUAUUUGUGCAAAGCCUUAAGAACAGGCCUCAGGGAUGGGAUGGAGGGGCAAGCCAGCCUCCCACCAGGGGUUCUGAGGGUGCUUCCUCU
ensembl:lncRNA